CAAGUACUCCCUCCGUUCAAAAUUACUUGUCGCAGAAAUGGAUGUAUCUUAGUUCUAGAUACAUCCAUUUCCAAGACAAGUAAUUUCGAACGGAGGGAGUAUACU
rnacentral:pre_miRNA from 1 species